UCGCACGCCACCUCGCCGGAGAACGUUGUCCUCGCCCGGAUCCCCGCGCCCUGCCAUCUUGUCCAUGCCGGCGAGUUCCUCCCGCGUCGUCGUCUUCUCUGCAUCAAGCCGCGCCGCCGUGCCAAGUCCCCUGCAUCGCGCCCAGCUGCCGGCGCUCGAACCUGCCUGCUUCCACGACCCGCGCUCGCCUCCAGAGGAAGAGUCAACGCACGAGCGUCUCGUGCGUGUUCCAGAUCCAGUGAACCGGCCCAGCCUCCCGAAGCCCAGCCGCUUCUUCGCUUCCAGCCCAGUGGCCCGAUGUGAGCAGCCGCCUAAACCCCUCCUGUGCACCAUUGGGCCAGCUAGUUUCGGCCCGUGUUGUUUUUUUUUCCUGAACGAAUUUGCCUAUUAAUCCAGUGAAUGACAGAUUUGCAGAAAACCCCUCAUACAUCAUGCAUAUAAUAAUUCACAACCCGUGCAUCGGAUUAAAAUGAUUUAAACAUGUAAAGUGCUUAGAAUUUCAUCUAGUUUCAUAAUAUGCCACUUUCAUGCAUGUUUAAAAUGUUUAAAAUGCUGUUUGUUUAAAUUUGCAUAAAUGCCAUGUUAAAAUGAUUUAAUUCAUAACUAAUUAACCGUAACUCAGAAUUUAUUAAACUUUAUAUGUAAAUGGGGUAGAAAAAUGCAUAGAUUAACUUGGUGCACUUUAUUUUCCUGUUUAACAACAAUAAAAUAUGGUUUUAGGCAGAACAGUACCAAUUCCAAAAUAUGGACAUGAGGAUUUUCCGGAAUUGUUGUUUGUUGUUCCGGCCUCAUUUAAACUUGCCUAGAUAGGUAGUUUUCAUAUGCUUCACCCCCUUGCCAUGUUUAAUAACAUUUAAUAUUGUUGGGUACAUAAACGAGAGAGAACUAAAUAAUUGAUGUGGUGAUUCGUCAAUAUGCAACGAGUUGCAUAUUGAGCUCCACUUAAUUUGUAGUGUUGUAUGUUGCACUUUGCCAUGCCAUGCUCAUAAAAUCGGACAUGCAUCAUACUUGUUUGUGCAUCAUGCCAUGUGUAUGUGGUGGUUGUUUACUAUGUUGUUUGUUUCUUUCUGGGUUGCUUCUCUCGUUAGCUUCGGUUUCAUUCCGGAGUUGUGAGGAUUCGUUCGACUUCAUCCAUUUGUCUUCUUCAUGGACUCGUUCUUCUUCCUAGCGGGAUCUCAGGCAAGAUGACCAUACCCUCGAAAUCACUUCUAUCUUUGCUUGCUAGUUGUUUGCUCUAUUGCUUUGCCGCGCUACCUACCACUUGUUAUAUCAUGCCUCCCAUAUUGCCAUGUCAAGCCUCUAACCAUCCUUUCCUAGCAAACCGUUGUUUGGCUAUGUUACCGCUUUUGCUCAGCCCCUCUUAUAGCGUUGCUAGUUGCAGGUGAAGAUGAAGUUUGUUCCAUGAUGGAACAUGGAUAUGUUGGGAUAUCACAAUAUCUCUUAUUUUGAUUAAUGCAUCUAUAUACUUGGUAAAGGGUGGAAGGCUCGGCCUUAUGCCUGGUGUUUUGUUCCACUCUUGCCGCCCUAGUUUCCGUCAUACCGGUGUUAUGUUCCUUGAUUUUGCGUUCCUUACGCGGUUGGGUGAUUUAUGGGACCCCCUUGACAGUUUGCUUUGAAUAAAACUCCUCCAGCAAGGCCCAACCUUGGUUUUACCAUUUGCCUACCUAAGCCUUUUACACUUGGGUUCUGCAGACUCAAGGGUCAUCUUUAUUUUAAACUCCCGGGCCAGUGCUCCUCUAAGUGUUGGUCCAACCUGUCAGUCGCCAGUGGCCACCAAGGGCAACUCUGGGCUCGCCUAUCGGAAGCUUGGACAAUCCGGUGUGCCCUGAGAACGAGAUAUGUGCAGCUACUAUCGGGAUUUGUCGGCACAUUCGGGCAGCUUUGCUGGUCUUGUUUUACCAUUGUCGAAAUGUCUUGUAAACCGGGAUUCCGAGACUGAUCGGGUCUUCCCGGGAGAAGGUUUAUCCUUCGUUGACCGUGAGAGCUUAUAAUGGGCUAAGUUGGGACACCCCUGCAGGGUAUUAUCUUUCGAAAGCCGUGCCCGCGGUUAUGUGGCAGAUGGGAAUUUGUUAAUAUCCGGUUGUAGAGAACUUGACACUCGACUUAAUUAAAACGCAUCAACCGCGUGUGUAGCCGUGAUGGUCUCUUUUCGGCGGAGCCCGGGAAGUGAACACGGCUUUUGGGUUAUGUUUAACGUAAGUAGGAGUUCAGGAUCACUUCUUGAUCAUUACUAGUUGACGACCGUUCCGUUGCUCCUCUUCUCGCUCUUAUGGCGUAUUUUAGCCACCAUAUAUGCUUAGUGCCUGCUGCAGCUCCACCUUUACACCAUCCUUUCCUAUAAGCUUAGUAUUGAUCUCGCGGGUGUGAGAUUGCUGAGUCCUCGUGACUCACAUAUUCUACCAAAACAGUUGCAGGUGCCGACGAUACCAGUGCAGGUGAUGCUACCAGACUCAAGUGGGAGUUCGACGAGGACCUUGGUCGUUACUAUGUUUCGUUUCCUGAUGAUCAGUAGUGGAGCCCAAUUGGGACGAUCGGGGAUCUAGCAUUUGGGGUUGUCUUCUUUUCUUUUGGUUCCGUAGUCGGACCUAUGUGUGUACUCUGAUUAAUGUAUGAUUUAUUUAUGUAUUGUGUGAAGUGGCGAUUGUAAGCCAACUCUUUAUCCCAUUCUUGUUCAUUACAUGGGAUUGUGUGAAGAUGACCCUUCUUGCGACAAAACCACAAUGCG
rnacentral:lncRNA from 1 species